AAUCCAUAGGUUAAUGAGGCGAACCGGGGGAACUGAAACAUCUAAGUACCCCGAGGAAAAGAAAUCAACCGAGAUUCCCCCAGUAGCGGCGAGCGAACGGGGAGGAGCCCAGAGCCUGAAUCAGCAUGUGUGUUAGUGGAAGCGUCUGGAAAGGCGCGCGAUACAGGGUGACAGCCCCGUACACAAAAGCGCAUGUGCUGUGAGCUCGAUGAGUAGGGCGGGACACGUGGUAUCCUGUCUGAAUAUGGGGGGACCAUCCUCCAAGGCUAAAUACUCCUGACUGACCGAUAGUGAACCAGUACCGUGAGGGAAAGGCGAAAAGAACCCCGGCGAGGGGAGUGAAAAAGAACCUGAAACCGUGUACGUACAAGCAGUGGGAGCCCCACCACUAAGCCAGUGGUGAACUCCACAUACGCAUCCUUUGCUGAGGAUACGGUUAACGGAGCGAAAGCGACGUUCAACCUCAAAAGAAGCAGAGGGGGCUUAG
rnacentral:rRNA from 1 species